rnacentral:rRNA from 1 species
GGGAAACUGCCUGAUGGAGGGGGAUAACUACUGGAAACGGUAGCUAAUACCGCAUAACGUCGCAAGACCAAAGAGGGGGACCUUCGGGCCUCUUGCCAUCGGAUGUGCCCAGAUGGGAUUAGCUAGUUGGUGGGGUAACGGCUCACCAAGGCGACGAUCCCUAGCUGGUCUGAGAGGAUGACCAGCCACACUGGAACUGAGACACGGUCCAGACUCCUACGGGAGGCAGCAGUGGGGAAUAUUGCACAAUGG